AAUAAUAAUAGACCAUAUCUUCCAUAUUGUAGAGCAAUUUGGAUUGUUCAGAAAGAUAAUAUUUUAUAGUUAACAAAGUGAAUAUAAGUUCUGACCUUAAUUUUAAAACACAAGAUGGAAACAGAACCUGGAUGGGGGUGUCUGUUUACGUCUGCGAUGGCUGCCGCUCCCCGCUUGGCGCCCCAGCCCCUGGCAUCACCAUGACUAAACCCCAGAUGGUGGCUCUUUCUUUGGCUUCCCCCUGGAGGGUGGAGGCUCCUCACUCUGACUGGCAAGUGGAUCACCAGAGAGAAAGAGAUGCUCCCUCACGGCCCGGCGCCUCCUUGCCUCUGCUGGGGCUGUAGAUGCAGCUCAUAAUGGUUGAAAUGUGGCGAACCUGAAUCCUGGCCUGGGAUCUUUCAGCAUGGAGUUUGGCUGCGUGGGUUUUCUCCCUAACACACUUCAGAAACACAACUCUUGUCUGACCACACAUUCAAGCCUCAGAGAAAAGCAGAAGGGAAUUCAAAUGCUCACAUUGCAGCUGCUCAGAAUCUUAGAGAAAACCAGAAGUCUUCACUUCUUCCAUGCAGUCGUCCAGUGAUGUCCUGCGAUGGACCUGCGAUGGACUCUAGACCAG